ensembl:lncRNA
AUGAAGAGUUUGGCUGAAGUGUUAGUGAAUUCAAGCCUGCACACCGCCACCCUCUACCCUCUCAGCCCUCUCCUCCUUCCACCACUUCAUCAUCCCUCCAUUCCCGGAAUUGGACAUGUCCCCCUCAGCUGUGAAGAAACACUUUGCAUCUGGCAACCGCUGUUGUUGUUCUCUCUCUUCUGGCUUCUUUCCCUCCAGGUCCACCCUUCUCACCCUCCUCUCGCUCUAUUCGGCACUCCACCCUCCCCACUCAUGGGUCCGGAUGUCCUAGGUCCAUCUGUCAGCGUGUCUAUCCCUAGACUGGUGAAAGGGAGGGGAGAGAGGAAGGAGAUGAUAGACGAGAAAAAGCGAGAGGAGCAGCCAAAGGGCUCAGAUGAGAAGGCUGUCUCUAACAAAAAUGGCUCCUAUCUCCCUGAAUUUUAAAAGCAGGAAUUUUUAUUCGCUCAGGAAGUGAACGCCCCAUGUCAGGUGACUUUAAUGCAGGAAAGGAGCCAGCCACCUUUAUCCUUGCUACGCCAACAACAUAACACCCUAAACCUCAAGUCCUGCUUUGAAGUUCACUUUCAUCUAAUGGUUUGCCAGCCGUUGUAGACAUAAAUGGUUUUCCAAAGAGCUUUUGCGAAAAGGCAUGUUUUGGAGAAAUGGUGAUCUUCCCAUGGGAAGAUAAGUGUCUUCCCCCGUUUUCCCCCUCAGAGGCCUUGAUUUCAUGCAUCAUCAAUCCUGACCUGUGUAACCCAAUAGGAACCCUUUGUUCUUUACAUCAAAGAGGUCCCACUGGACCAGAGAUCAAUCAGUGAUUGAUAGCACAAAGCGGAUUCCACGUGUUUGUAAAGCCAUCAAUACCAUGACCAAAGGAGGGGAAUCCCUCCUCAGUGAAUUGAUUGAUUUGAUUAGGUCUCUUCCUCUCUCAUUCCCAAGAUAACCGCAUUCUUCCCCCCCCUUUCAUUGGUCGUCCUUGUGGAGAUUUUAUUACCAGGAUAUCUUAUUUUCAUCUGGAUGUUUGAUCCAUGGACUCUCUGAUGUUUCCAGAUUGUUCUGGUUUUCCAGAAAGGUAUUUUGUCUUUAAAAACUUGUUGUAUAACUCCAACAUCUGUCUCUAUACUUGUUAAUGUAAUAGCAGGACAGCACAAGUGUCCAUUGAUGUGAUGAGAUUGUCUUCGCUUUCCUUAGUGUCACCAUACAAAUGUUUUCAAUCCAGACUGAGACUGUCAUAGCAAAAAUAUACAACUUACAGAAAGAUUGUUGUGUCUCCAGGUAAAAUGUCCUGGAGUAUUAGUUCGGUGAGCCUUUAGUACAGACCCAGUUUCCUCCCUUUAUUUAAUGAAAGACUUAUGAACAAUUUCUUAUUUUUUAUCGGGGGCCUCUGGUCCUGUCUUACCCAGAGUGCCUGGCCAUGUCUCACCAUGCCGUUUCCCUCUUUGCUAAACAGGCUGUAACCUCAUGACCUCGCAGCCGGUCUUCCUGAACAGAAUGGGGAAAUGGGAAAGAGGCCUGUGUUGUGGCUAAGUCGUGAUCAGGCGCCAGGAAGGCAGGAAGUGAAUUUUCACAUAAACACCAAAGAUUCAGCACUUUCAAGCAAGAUGCAGAACUGUUUGUUCACAUGAAGCACAUAAACAUACACAAUAAAAAUGAUAAGCAUGUAACAGUGCCCACUCAACAGUUUUGAUGGGCUGUAGGCACUGUGAGUACCCAGCCAAGCCCAAAACAUUAUCUUGAAAGUUACGUAACUCACUGUAGAAAAAAAAUAAUAAAGAAACCAAAGGCAGCACACAGAGGACGCUUCUCUCAGGAAACUGAGACAACUUUUAUUGUGGAUUUUAAUGGGCUCAGGUGCUCCUAGUUGCACUGAAUGAAGAUCCCUGCCAACCAAUUAUCUGCAAAACAACAAACAAAAAGGAAGAGGCAAACUGGAGGGCCAUCACAAUCAUUUGCAGAUGGUUGGCUUUCAACUGGAACUAAGAGAACACAUUAGCCAAAUGUUGUUAAACUCAAUUGGCUUCCAAUUGCCUCAUAAUUCAUUCAAAAAAUGUAAGUAUUAAGUCGACAUGUGUACCCAAAGGUUUAUGAAUGUCCGUUUGCUUGGAGGGUAGAGGGGAAACACUCAUUCACUACACACUUCACUACAUCAGAGACCAGGGAUCAGUCCCUAGUAGUGGUGCGUCUGUCUUGGCCUUAUUAUCCAGCAAAGGUAAAAUAUUCUGCCCGACUGUUUUCUGAAUGUAUCCAUCUUUGUACAAAUGUAAAAGGUACAGUAAAUGUAAAUGCAAUCUUUUGUCUUUGGAGAGAAAAUGCUAUUUACUCAGUUAACUUUGUGUGAAUCACCAUUUCCCUUAGAGAAACAUAAAGUGGAAACGGUAAGCCAUUAACAAUUCAAUCCUUUUAUAACUUGAAUCUGAAGUUUACAUAGGCCAGAAAAAUUUUUAAAAAGUAGGUAAAAACACAGGCUAUAGAAUCUCUGAUAUCCUCAGCAUCACCGCCCAUCACCCCUCAGUAUUGUUUGCCUGGUUUUGUUUCCUGACAGCCUCCUAUAGCACAUACAGUCAUCUCUGGCUGUGGUAUAGUAACCCCCACCCCUCCUUUUUUGGCAGCUUGCUGUAGUGUGCUGAGUGGGCAAAGGGCCAGCCAGCGAGCAGCCGGCCGUGGGAUGGUGACGUUUGAUCUUCAGGGAGGCACCAUCAGCGCUGAGCCCUCCUCGGCUGAAGCGCUUUGUGCUUAAGUGCAUUAGUGGCAGGGAGAUCCUUUAAGAUGUGGCGGCCAUGCACGAGACCUGUGGGCAGCUGGCCCUAUGCGGGGCUGAUGGGAUUGAAGGAGCCAGGGCGUGAUGGUUAUGCCAGGAGUCAGGUCGCACAGGCAUAUGGGAGGGGGGGUGAGGUGAGAAAGUGGGAGGGCUGGCAAGACUUGAUAUGCCAGCAUGGCCAACUCUGGCCUGGUUCAAAUCCCAGAUAUAACCGGUGCAGGGGUGGGAUUGGACAUGGUGCGCCGACGCAGAGGAUUAGGCUUCUCAGCCACAGUGGGAACGAAAAUGCAUGUAUGUCCUUGGACUGAUGAAUAUGACAUAUAAAUAACUAUAAAGGAUGUUAUUCAUGGAGUGGAAUGAAUGAUUGUGUGCACUA